rnacentral:misc_RNA from 1 species
GAACAACAAAAAUCUACGACAAUGUUUAUGCCUCAACUACAAAAUAAAAACUCUAUUCUUUUUGCUACCUAGGAAUCACCAGUACCAUGAAAGCUGAAACACAAUCAGAAAACAGCAAGAUUCACCAUAGAAAUCAUCCAAGGCUGCAACAGAUACACAUAAACAGCUCUUUCAAAACAGAUGAUCCGAUUGUUUAUCACCAAGACAUGAAAGCAUGAAGGGAGAGUAACAUCAGCCCAUUACAUAGCACUGGGCAUACUUGUUAGGAAAAUAUCUUCAUGGUAGCUGGAUGCAGGAGAGCUUUUGGGGGAAUCAUCACAAGUUUUCUCUGUUUCAUCCUCAGCAAAAAUUUCUUCAGAGUGGCAAUCAAAACUGCAAAAUGCUUUCUCACCUCUGUAGAUAUAAAUGUCAUCACCCUUCUCCAACUUUUUUUUGCAGGAGUAACAGAAGCUCAAGAACUCAUCAGAUGGGUGAGAAGUUGG